UUAAAACUGAAAUCCAGAGUUUGAACAGAUGAAGGAAUACAUGGUGGUAUGGAGCUGAGGUUUCUUCCCAUGCAUGAGUAGUGCAGAUUCUCUGUAAUCUAAGGUUACAAAAAUUAACAACAAUAAAAACAGUAAUGAAAAACAGAUUUGCAUUUAGAAAACUUACUUCAGUGCAUGAUUCUCCAGCAUCUAUGAAAAAACAUAUGAAAGCACUUAUAGUGAAGAAACUCAUCUUGCGUGCUCUCGAGAUUUUCUCUAACUGUCAUACAUAAAAAAAAAUGUAUUGUUUGAGUUCAUCUCAUAUGACAAACGAAUGCAAUGGGUUUAACAUUUGGGAAUUUUGUGCAAGAAUACAAUGUCAAAAGAAAUAGUCCUGUGGUUAUUCUGGUAAAUCUUGAGUCAUUUUUGGAAUAUCCCAAAUGAAUUAACAAAAAGAAACCAUGUUUAAAAAGACCAAUUGAAAAAAAAACAAUGUUUUGUAAAGAAAUAACCUCAGAGAUACAUAAAUUAUGAAUUAUUAAUACUGGCACAUACGGUUUAAUCUCCAGUAACAAUGAUUCUAAACAUACCAACAUGGGAAACAUGACUGGCUGCUCAUCUGAAAAACUACUGACCCUAAUCUGAAAUUCAGAUCCAACAUAGCUGUAGAAUGCGUGUUAAUGGUGUGGAUUAGUAUACUUUAAAGGUACAUUAUGUAACUUUUGGCACUCUAGUGGUUAAUUAACAGUGUCUUGGGGAAUAACAUUGUAGCCAGAGCUACUUCUCUCUAUGUAUAUGACGAGUCACGCAGGUACUAGGCUACUCCACAGAGGUUGUCGUCCUGCCUGGUCUAAAACAGUCAGAAUAUAAACACUUAUUAUAGGCGCACCAUAGAGAUUCAGAAUAAGACAAAUACAGUUUGGAAGAUGGAUUCACGAUGCACUCGCUCAUUAUAUAAAUUUUGAACAUUUUGAACAAAAGAGUACAUUUAAGAAUUAAGAAAAUAUCCACACAUGUAAUCUUGCAAUUAAUUACUGACCAGUGAUGUAUAUGAGCUGCCAGCAGAUGGCCCUGCACACAAAUGACAAGGUCAAAUCUGCAAUUAUUGGCAACUUCAGUUAGAAACUUAAGUCACUCGGCUACAGUGAUAACCCGACCAAUAAUUAAUCUCUUUUAGUCUGAUCUUCACAUAUACAUACACACAAAAAGAAAAAAAAAAAAAAAGUAAUUGAAGGUACAAUUCCUUUGUGUGGGUGCUGAAUAUUCCUCUAUUUCCCUCCCUUUUAUUACAGAUUUUUUGUUUUACCCCCCCCUCUAAAUAUUAAAUCACCAAUAAAUUAUCUUCCUCAGUGACAUAAGUCUCCUUUUAACGUUAAAUUCACUAUAUGCACUACAUCAGUGGUUCUCAAACCUGUCCUGGAGGACCCCCAGCCCUGCACAUUUUGUAUGUCUCCCUAUUUCUGACACCCAUUUGAGGUCUUGCUGUCUCUACUAAUGAGCACAUGAGUUGAAUCAGGUGUGAUAGAUGAGGGAGACGUACAAAAUGUGCAGGGCUGGGGGUCCUCCAGGACAGGUUUGAGAACCACUGCACUACAUACAGUAGACCUUGAUGAAUGCAAGAAGGUACUAUUAAAAUAAAAAUAAAAACUGUAUGAACCUGUUGAUAGUCAACAACCUUUAUUUAUCCAUAUAUGUGAGCCACUCAAAGAUGGGGGAAUAGACAAAUGGGACAAGAAUUGACCAUUAUAGAGGGUAAUCAACAUAUGGAUCAAUGGCAUUGUAACUUUCUUUAACCUCUAAUCUAUGAAGAGGCUUGUUGACAGUAAAUUAAAAGACAUAAGUAACAGGUGUAAACAUUCAUGUACAGAGAAGCAAAAAAAAAAAAAAAAAAAAAAAAAAAAAAAAUUAAAA